GGCUUCCUUCAGUGGAUGGUCUGCUCCCUUUUAAAUGCAUUAGUGGGAUCUCUUGUGGACCGUCACUUGGUGUGAUAAUUAUCUAUGCCUCGUCGACCUUGAAGCAAAAAUUAUGGGGAACCUGCUUAUAACCGUCUCGCAAGGGACAAUAUCUCUGACAUUUUGACCUCAAAUCAGGUAGGACUACCCGCUGAACUUAA
rnacentral:misc_RNA from 1 species